rnacentral:rRNA from 1 species
GAUGAACGCUGGCGGCGUGCCUAAUACAUGCAAGUCGAGCGAACAGACGAGGAGCUUGCUCCUCUGACGUUAGCGGCGGACGGGUGAGUAACACGUGGAUAACCUACCUAUAAGACUGGGAUAACUUCGGGAAGCCGGAGCUAAUACCGGAUAAUAUAUUGAACCGCAUGGUUCAAUAGUGAAAGACGGUUUUGCUGUCACUUAUAGAUGGAUCCGCGCCGCAUUAGCUAGUUGGUAAGGUAACGGCUUACCAAGGCAACGAUGCGUAGCCGACCUGAGAGGGUGAUCGGCCACACUGGAACUGAGACACGGUCCAGACUCCUACGGGAGGCAGCAGUAGGGAAUCUUCCGCAAUGGGCGAAAGCCUGACGGAGCAACGCCGCGUGAGUGAUGAAGGUCUUCGGAUCGUAAAACUCUGUUAUUAGGGAAGAACAAAUGUGUAAGUAACUAUGCACGUCUUGACGGUACCUAAUCAGAAAGCCACGGCUAACUACGCG